AGGGAGGACCAGGGCAGGAGUUGUGUUAAAGAGGCUCAAGUGCUGCGCUGCGUUCCGCACUGCUGCUGCGCCGCAAAGAAAAGUAGACUCCCUACCGAAGCCGAUCCACAUUUAAGGUUUCACAUCCUUAAAAAAAAAGACAACAACCCGAGAUCCACGUUUUCCGCGACACACCCUGGUUCCGUGACUCCGCCGCAGCAAGUGUGAACUCCGCUGGACCGUCCAGAUGUGCGGGCCCGAGCGGGAGCGACCCGGCCGGUGGUCAAGGAAUGUGUGAGCCCAAAGCCUAUACAGGGGAAGGAGGAGGAGCCGCCAUUCGGGGGGCCUUUUAAGUCCGGCUGUCCGUCACUUCCCGGGGCUGUCCGCUUGGAAGUCUGGCGCUCCCGGAGGCCCCCCCCUCCACACUCGGCCCCCGAAUGGCUGACGCACGGCAGUUCUUCACUGGCAAGCUUUAUGUUCCCGUGCACAUGCUAAAGCUGCCAGCUGAAGAACUGCUGUGGUCAGCCCCGCCCCGGAUGAGUCAAGCAGAGGAAGCGGAUGGGCGUUGCAGAGGAGAAGACGCAGGAGGGCGGUGUUUCUCACGCUCAGUCAGAACGCGACACAUUUCAGCAACCAGUGUGUUGAUAAUCUGGUUUUAAACAAAUGUAUUUUAUUGUGGGCAAUAGAGAAUGCUUAUUUGCUGGCAUUUUUCCUUAAAAAAUAAAAAAUGUUUUUCAUGCUGUUUCUUAAAAAAUAUUCUGUCAGACUGUUUUUUUUUGUUGUGGACAAAACUGCAGACUACGAACAAUAAACCUCAAACAGCACGGGAA